rnacentral:rRNA from 1 species
AUUGAACGCUGGCGGCAUGCUUUACACAUGCAAGUCGAACGGCAGCGCGGGCUUCGGCCUGGCGGCGAGUGGCGAACGGGUGAGUAAUAUAUCGGAACGUACCCAAGAGUGGGGGAUAACGUAGCGAAAGUUACGCUAAUACCGCAUACGAUCUAAGGAUGAAAGCAGGGGAUCGCAAGACCUUGUGCUCCUGGAGCGGCCGAUAUCUGAUUAGCUAGUUGGUGAGGUAAAGGCUCACCAAGGCAACGAUCAGUAGCUGGUCUGAGAGGACGACCAGCCACACUGGAACUGAGACACGGUCCAGACUCCUACGGGAGGCAGCAGUGGGGAAUUUUGGACAAUGGGGGCAACCCUGAUCCAGCAAUGCCGCGUGAGUGAAGAAGGCCUUCGGGUUGUAAAGCUCUUUUGUCAGGGAAGAAAAGGUCGUGGCUAAUAUCCACGACUACUGACGGUACCUGAAGAAUAAGCACCGGCUAACUACGUGCCAGCAGCCGCCGUAA